AUACUUACCUGGUGCCGGGACCACGUUGAUCACCAAGGAGUCGCUGCCCCUGAUAUGUGGGUUAUAAUAAAUUCUUUUUUUGUGCCCCCAGGGCGGGCGCGGGCAUUGCACUGCGCUCGCGUUGACCCCUGCCACUACCCCAAACGGCAGAUGGGGCAUGCCAAUUGC
rnacentral:snRNA from 1 species